rnacentral:tRNA from 1 species
ACCUGGCUGGCUCAGUUGGAAGAGCGUGUGACUCUUGAUCUCAGGGUUGUGAGUUUGAGCCCCAUGUUGGGUG